rnacentral:rRNA from 1 species
GUGAGGAAUAUUGGUCAAUGGGCGAGAGCCUGAACCAGCCAAGUCGCGUGAAGGAAGAAGGAUCUAUGGUUCGUAAACUUCUUUUGCAGGGGAAUAAAGUGCGGGACGUGUCCUGUUUUGUAUGUACCCUGAGAAUAAGGAUCGGCUAACUCCGUGCCAGCAGCCGCGGUAAUACGGAGGAUCCGAGCGUUAUCCGGAUUUAUUGGGUUUAAAGGGUGCGUAGGUGGUUUGAUAAGUCAGCGGUGAAAGUUUGCAGCUUAACUGUAAAAAUGCCGUUGAAACUGUCGGACUUGAGUGUAAAUGAGGUAGGCGGAAUGCGUGGUGUAGCGGUGAAAUGCAUAGAUAUCACGCAGAACUCCGAUUGCGAAGGCAGCUUACUAAGCUACAACUGACACUGAAGCACGAAAGCGUGGGGAUCAAACAGGAUUAGAAACCCCUGUAGUCC